CUGUCCGAGCGUCAUUACAACCCUCAAGCUCUGCUUGGUGUUGGGCCCCGCCGCCUCGGCGGGCCUAAUCAGUGGCGGUACCAUCCGGCUCCGAGCGUAGUAAUUCUUCUCGCUCUGGAGGUCCGGUUGUGUGCUUGCCAUCAACCCCCAAUUUUUUUCAGGUUGACCUCGGAUCAGGUAGGGAUACCCGCUGAACUUAA
rnacentral:misc_RNA from 1 species